rnacentral:rRNA from 1 species
GUUACUGGGCGUAAAGACGCAUGCAGCGGCCUGUUAAGUCAGAUGUCGAAGACCCAGGGCUUAACCUCGGAAUUGCAUUUGAAACUGGCAGGCUAGAGUCUUGUAGAGGGGGGUAGGAAUUUCAGGUGUAGCGGUGAAAUAGCGUAGAGAUCUGAAGGAAUACCAGUGGCGAAGGCCGGCCCCCUCGGACAAAGACUGACGCUCAGAUGCGAAAGCGUGGGGAGCAAACAGGAUUAGAUACCCUGGUAG